UGUUUGAGGGUGGCGGAGAACGCACCGCGCGCCAUCCGCGUCGUACCGGCAGGGAAGGAGAGGGCGAGCUAGCCGCAAUGCACCACGCGCAGACGUUCUUGGCGUGCGCGUUUUAGUAAACCCCUGCUCACCCUGAAUUCUCGUACAUGUAAUAUCUGAGACGCCGACGUUGCUAGAUUCGACGGAAUUCUGAUAAUCAUCGCCGCAUCUUUCACGGCACUAUAAUUGCUUCAUUCACUGUCGGUUAAUAUUAUCUCUGAUUCAUAUCCGCGAGAAGGUUGCGCGAGAACAUUGCGAAACUUGCGUGAACCUGAAACCAGUCACAUUCGCACAAGUAGCGCACAUACGCUACUUGGCAUACGCGGUGUCUAUAUCAGAUUCACGUAAUAUUUACAGACAACGUAUUCCUCGAGGCAAUGCGAGACGAUCAAUACCUGUAGGAAGUCACGUCCCAUGGACACAGAAGUUUUCUGUCGUGAAAAACGAGG